AAGGGUCGUUCGAGACCAGGACGUUGAUAGGUCAGGUGUGUAAGCGCAGUAAUGCGUUCAGCUAACUGAUACUAAUUGCCCGUAAGGCUUGAUCCUAUAACCAGUCUGCG
rnacentral:rRNA from 1 species